UUGAAAAUAAAACGAAAAAAUUGUUAUCAACAAACUUAAUAACAAGACAUAAAAUAGUCCGGAUUAAUUGGUUUAGGAUCAAGAGAGUGGAAAUGAGAAUAAUGAUGAAAAUAUCGUUCUAAGUAUCUUCUAGUCUAAUUCCAUAAAUCAUGGAAGGCGAAGAAUCUAUACAUGGAUCUGGCCCCUUCUCAAGCUCUCUCUCUUUUUUCUAUUGCUUUUAACUUUCUACUCGGAUGCAGCCUUCGCUCUCUACCGCGCGUGUGGCGACUCCAAAAACAUCCCGGGAACGAUGCCCUCGGUCGCCUCUUCGGCGCCGUCGGGGACGACAUCGACGCCGCCCUCCAGAAAUCGGAGAUGGCGUCGUAGGAAAAGAAUAGGGCGGCGGCGGUGGCCAUGAACUCCGGGGCCGGGGGGACCAACGCCCGGUGAUAAGAGGACGAUGGCGGUGGUGGAGGCACUGCAUAUUUUGGCGGUGGUGAUAUUGACAUGACGGUGAUGUUUCAAUUUUAGGAUGAUCCAGACGUCACUUUAUAUUUGUGAUUGCACGAAUUAUAUUUAUUUAUUUGCUGUUUAAUUUGUUGGCGAGUCAUUGGCAUGAACAUGGGGAAGCACUUGCACCAUUAUUGUAAUAUUUUUUCAAGGAAGCAAUGUUAUUCUGACAUUUGAUUUGGUCCAUGUAAAUACUUUCUCGGGGUUGAUAAUGCUUUUUGAAUCAUUUGAUUAUUCUCA